UCAUUAUUUUUGAUCAGUUCCUUUUUUUCAAGAACUUUUUCAAGCAAUAAACUAAAUGGAUUUUUAACUACAAAUUUAGUUCCUCAUUUGAGAGUUUAGGAAAGCAUAUCCUAAAUUCAUUUUCUGAAGAUAUAAAAGCAUUUAGAAUCAAGUGUGUAACUUAACUGACGAUGUAACAUUCGAUAUGGCAACUCAGUAAACAAGUGGUAUUGUGUGCUAGGUGAACCUCUCUUGCAGUACAAAUUUUGCUUCAAACUUGGGCAACUAUAGAGAACUCCAGCAGACCUAUAGAGACAAUGGCUAAGGUUUUUUAGUGGUUUAAGGCAUUUUCAGAAGGAAGAGAAGACACGCUUCAUCAAACGUACUACAAUUGCAAGAAUGAAUGGAAAUGUUGACAGAAUCGAGGAGUUUUCAGAUAGUUGAUUGACUGCUAGAAUAAUCGGGGAAUAGUUGAAUUUGUAUCACAUCAUGUUCAUUAGAUUUUGAGUUAUGAAAUGAAUUUGAACAACGAAAAAGGAUCAUGUUUUUGAGAUCAAACGAUACUGGCAAAAGUCUUGUUAACAGCAAUGUCAAUAAACACAUUCCUGUGGUUC